rnacentral:lncRNA from 1 species
GUCUUGAUCUCCUCCGCGUAGCCCGCGCUCACCGUCACCACCCGGUCCGCGGUGGUCAGGCCGGCCUGGGGGGGAUGGGGUUACAUUCAUGGUUACGUUAACAUGAAGGGGGCGGGGUUACAUUCAUGAUUCGAUUAAGAAGGAGGAGGGUUUAUAUUCACAGGUAAUUAAGAAGAGGAGGAAGGGGGUUACAGUAACGAUCAAUUCAGAAGAAGUGCGGGGGCGGGGACGGAGCAGCCGUGCAUGGAGAACGAAGUGACUACAUCGGGGAGGGCCACGGGGCGUGUGUCUGCAGCGCGCUGGUGGUUUGAGCUCUGCGCACCUUGCGCUUUCCCUCAUGUUCCUCUUGACACUUAUGCGCCCCUAGGUGGGCGCACCCCUUCCCGAGGCUACACACACAUCCGCGACCCUUCCAACCACGCAGUCAGGAACGUCGUCGUCCGCCGCCCCGCCCUGCCAC